GUUAUGAUGGAUAAAGAGACAGGUGUUCUGGUGACCUGUAACCCCAUCAGGAGCCCCAAGGGUCACCUCCUGCUAAACCAAACAUAACCUUUAUCAGUGAAGGUCACUCCUGAGAAACUCUGUUGAGAAACCCUGCAGACAGGAAAGCCAAGGAGGCCUCCUCCUUUCCAUUGUCAUUGUCUUUUAAGGGAGCUUGAACAGGUUAGCUCCUACAGACUUCUUUAACUGCCUGGAACACUCUGCUAAUUCUAUUUCCCAUACUCUUCAACUGAGUCAAGAGAAGAAAACAGACAUUUGGAACCCUGAUCCAAUCAAAUUAAUAUUCUGGUGAUCAGAAGCCAAGACUGUACAGAGAUUUCUGAGGCCUCUCCAGGAAUUCUGUCCAGAAUCCAGCUCUGGAGGACUUCAGUGUGCGAGAAUGUACAGUACAUUGGAUGGACUCUGGGGUCUAAGGAAUGAAGUUUGUCCUCAUUAGGACAAAAAGAUACAAGAGGAACGCCCGAGUACAUAUAGAACACAGGGUGCCAUGAUGUGGAGCCUGAAGACAAGGGAGGCUGCUGAACACUCUAAUGCCUGUAUGAGUGAACUUGGACAUGAACAGUGUAGCUGGAUCUGUUUGCCUUCAGUUCAAGCUGCAAUGUUGUCACCAUCUCCUCUUUCAGCCCAUCUUUGCUUCCCAGUCGUGAGACUUGAAGAGCACAGAGGAUGGCCUCUGUAGGUCAGUCACUGGCUCUGGACCAUUGACCACUACCACUGCUUUUACUUGGGAUGGUGUUCAAAUUGUGGGAUGUCUGAGAAAGCUGGGUUCCACGUUUUUGCUAUGCAACCUGUUCCUCACGUCCUGGACUUUGCCUGCUCCAGUCCUCAGUUGCCAUUCAGUAAGCAUUGUGACGUGUAAGGCUCUCAGGAGAAGCCAGAUCCCAGUGGCAUUAGUGUGACAAACAAGCUGUGCCCAAGGAGCUGACACUCUGGCAGAGUCCAGGACAUUCAGGAAGACAGAGGUGGUGAGAUAUCACCAACUAUGACUCUGACAUCCAAUGAAGCAGUCGAGGGCCAUGAGGCUUUUCUGACUGAGGCAACACAGCCUGGAGCCCAAAUCCCGAGGCUGUGCACCAAAGUCCUUCCCUGUUUGUCACUGGUGAGCACAGGCUGACCUGAAAGUCUGGACCUGAUCUCUCAGUGAAGGCAAAACCGCUUGACCUCUGAUUUUGAACUGCAAUUGUAGCUAAUGCUGCUAUUGAUUUAAAAAUCUAGUUCAAUAUGUGAAAAAAUACACUCUUCAAUCUCCUGGAACAUUCUGUCUCAGAGAGGACCGUGUCUACACGUCAAAGAAAAGACCAGAUCCUGGUGCUUUCCCACAAGAAGUUGCUCAAUAUGGCUACCAGGCAGGCCAAACAAAAGCCUCUGUCUGCAGACAGGAGGGCACCAACAAUGUGUCAAGAAACCUCAUCUGCAUCGUCACAAGCAUCUGCAGUGUGGAUAUCUGGUCAACAUGGUCUUUUGACAGUUGUGGAGCCCCUCCCACCAAUAAAGCUUUUGUAGGUGAAGAACCUGAAGGAUCAGAGGCUGUGCCAGUACAUGCUGGAGAAAUACUUGACUGGACUCGGGAGUAGGAGCCAAGGCAUUGGCCCACAGAUGUGCUGUUCUCCUUCUUUGGAUACCCGUCGCAACAACACAAUCUUCUCUGUCUACUGGAGUUGUCUUGGUUGUAGAUUUGGAGAUCCUCAAUAUCCCAGCUUAGUUCUCUAAUGUUAAGUCAUAUCGACUCUUAGCAUAGUACGUUAUUUGCCACUGUUCUUUCUACCUUUAUUUUGCCAGAAUUUUCUAUGGGUAAGUUAUUCCAUCUAUAACACUUUAUGAUGUGUAAGCCCACACGAAGGUACCCAGAGCCCAUACACAAUGUGCUCUUAUUUACCUGUGAGAAGUCCAAGCCAGUAAACCAAUCUUAACUCAGUGGUGAGAAGGAACUUAAAACUUAGAACAGGACUUGUUUUCAUUCCUUUCUUGUUAGUAUCAUUCACAACUUCUGUAGAAGUUGGGAGUCCAGAAAGCAAAGGGCGGGACUUUCUCACAUGAUCUUGACCCAUGUUGGGUUUUCUGUCUUCCAUCUCCACCUUUAACAUUUAAUAUACCACAUCUCUCCAAAGGUCAUGCCUAUUCUAGUGUGCUGCACUCAGUGAAGAAGUUGGAGCAAGUGUCAAAAGAGUGAAGGCCAAGCUCUGACUGUGACAGAGAGUUUGAUAUGGAUAAAUGAUGCUUUGAAAAACACGUGACUUUUCGCUGGGACCUCCAUCUACUGUAAAUAACCAACAAUCUGUUCAAGGAUCAAUGUGCCUCUGAGAUGAGGACAACAAGGCAUCACUAAGAAAUCUAUAUAGUCCUACCUCCCAGAAGAUGAGUGAAGGUGUUACAGUUAGGAUGACUGUUGACAUGAGGCUCUCAGAGGUUCUCCACAAAUCUGAAGGACAAGAUUGAGAUUGCCAUUCUUAUGGUCUUUCCAUAGUCUCCCCUUGCAAUUAGAAUUGACCAUCACUGUGGACCUCAUCUAUUAGAUGAAGGAUAUCUAGAAAGCCUCUGGACAGGCAGCAUGGCAGAAAUCAACUCUUUCCACAAAAAAAGAAGGCUGCUGCUGACACAGUGGAUAGAGCACACACAAGCUCCCUGUCUGACUCCUUCAGCUCUUGCAUAUCCCCUUGGCUAACAUUUCAGAGCUUCUGAUCCUUCAGACAUCAGCUUCUUGAUACUGAAGAGAUUGUUCUACCUGAUGAGCCCAGGCCUAGAAGAUGGACUACAUCCAAGAAGCCUGGCCAAUCUAAGGCCAAGUCACAUCUUUAAGAAAUAUUUGAAAGCAUUUGUGCACGGGAUAAAGGUGCAAGGACCAAAGUCUCCUUAGACAUUCCAGCCUACAGAGGGUCUGACAGACUCAGGUCAAAGGUUACGUCUGAAGCCUAGAUCAUGAAGAAGGCCCCACUCCACAGGAGAAGCCUGUGGCUGAUGCUAUUGCAACUAGGACUAUGAUUGUGAAACUUGUGUCUGUGGAUAGCAGAUUCACGAAUCUUGUGCCCAGGUAUCCACAGGCCUUUUUUCAUACAUUCCUUUGUAUAACUUUGCAAGUCCUGAUUUUGGAAGUGUUGGGUCCUUAUGCUAUCUCACUUGACAUAUAGUCCAAGAAAGAUUUUUACCCCUUUAAGGGGCUGGAAAUAGACUGGACUCACAGUUACCAUUAAAACUGAAGUUCUGUCCUGUGUGGUUAUUGGCCCUUUUAAAACUUGUUUGACUGGGAACAAGGCUCAGAGCCUGAUAUUUUCAAGAUUCUCCCCUACAAAUUCAGAAACCCACAGCUCAAAGCAGUACAGAUAACACUCAGAAAUUAAUACAAGGACAAGGUGUC
ensembl:lncRNA